rnacentral:rRNA from 1 species
CUAGAAAAGCUUCGUGAGCGAGAUAUUAGCCGCCCGUACCCCAAACCGACACAGGUGGAUAGGUAGAGAAUACUAAGGCGAUCGAGAUAACCAUGGUGAAGGAACUCGGCAAAAUACCCCCGUAACUUCGGAAUAAGGGGGACCUGAGACGUAUUAGAAUUUACUUCGAAAGCGUCGAGGGUCGCAGAGACCAGGCCCAAGCGACUGUUUACUAAAAACACAGGUCCGUGCUAAGUCGUAAGACGAUGUAUACGGACUGACUCCUGCCCGGUGCUGGAAGGUUAAGGGGAAGGGUUAGCUUUGGCGAAGCCUUGAACUUAAGCCCCAGUAAACGGCGGUGGUAACUAUAACCAUCCUAAGGUAGCGAAAUUCCUUGUCGGGUAAGUUCCGACCUGCACGAAUGGAGUAACGACUUGGGCGCUGUCUCCACCAUGGACUCGGCGAAAUUGCACUUCGAGUAAAGAUGCUCGUUACGCGCAGCAGGACGGAAAGACCCCGGGACCUUCACUAUAGUUUGGUAUUGGUGAUCGGAGUGACUUGUGUAGGAUAGGUGGGAGACUUUGAAGCUUGGACGCCAGUUCAGGUGGAGUCAUCGUUGAAAUACCACUCUGGUCGCUUUGGUUAUCUAACCUAGGUCCAUUAUCUGGAUCAGGGACAGUGCCUGAUGGGUAGUUUGACUGGGGCGGUCGCCUCCUAAAAGGUAACGGAGGCGCCCAAAGGUUCCCUCAGCCUGGUUGGCAAUCAGGUUUCGAGUGUAAGUGCACAAGGGAGCUUGACUGCGAGAGAGACAUCUCAAGCAGGGACGAAAGUCGGGACUAGUGAUCUUCUGGUGGCACAUGGAAGCGCCAGGACUCAACGGAUAAAAGGUACCCCGGGGAUAACAGGCUGAUCUUGCCCGAGCGUCCAUAGCGACGGCAUGGUUUGGCACCUCGAUGUCGGCUCGUCGCAUCCUGGGGCUGGAGUCGGUCCCAAGGGUUGGGCUGUUCGCCCAUUAAAGCGGCACGCGAGCUGGGUUUAGAACGUCGUGAGACAGUUCGGUCCCUAUCCGCUGCGCGCGUAGGAGUCUUGAGAAGAGCUGUCCUUAGUACGAGAGGACCGGGACGGACUAACCUCUGGUGUGCCAGUUGUUCUACCAAGAGCACGGCUGGUUGGCUACGUUGGGAAGUGAUAACCGCUGAAAGCAUCUAAGCGGGAAGCACGCUUCAAGAUGAGGGCUCCCACAGAAUAAUCUGGUAAGGCCCCCUAUAGACCAUGGGGUGAUAGGUCGGAUGUGGAAGUGCAGCAAUGUACGGAGCUGACCGAUACUAAUAGGCCGAGGGCUUGUUC